AGCGAACGCUGGCGGCAGGCCUAAUACAUGCAAGUCGAACGGAUCCUUCGGGAUUAGUGGCGGACGGGUGAGUAACACGUGGGAACGUGCCUUUUGGUUCGGAACAACUCAGGGAAACUUGAGCUAAUACCGGAUGUGCCCUUCGGGGAAGGAUUAUCGCCAUUAGAGCGGCCCGCCGUCUGAUUAGCUAGUUGGUAGGGUAAAGGACCUACCAAGGCUACGAUCAGUAGCUGGUCUGAGAGGAUGAUCAGCCACACUGGGACGUGAGACACGGCCCAGACUCCUACGGGAGGCAGCAGUAGGGAAUCUUGCGCAAUGGGCGAAAGCCUGACGCAGCCAUGCCGCGUGAAUGAUGAAGGUCUUA
rnacentral:rRNA from 1 species